GACGAACGCUGGCGGCGUGCCUAAUACAUGCAAGUAGAACGCUGAAGGAGGAGCUUGCUCUUCCGGAUGAGUUGCGAACGGGUGAGUAACGCGUAGGUAACCUGCCUGGUAGCGGGGGAUAACUAUUGGAAACGAUAGCUGAUACCGCAUAAGAGUAGAUAUCGCAUGAUAGCUGCUUGAAAGGUGCAAUUGCACCACUACCAGAUGGACCUGCGUUGUAUUAGCUAGUUGGUGAGGUAACGGCUCACCAAGGCAACGAUACAUAGCCGACCUGAGAGGGUGAUCGGCCACACUGGGACUGAGACACGGCCCAGACUCCUACGGGAGGCAGUAGUAGGGAAUCUUCGGCAAUGGACGAAAGUCUGACCGAGCAACGCCGCGUGAGUGAAGAAGGUUUUCGGAUCGUAAAGCUCUGUUGUAAGAGAAGAACGAGUGUGAGAGUGGAAAGUUCACACUGUGACGGUAUCUUACCAGAAAGGGACGGCUAACUACGUGC
rnacentral:rRNA from 1 species